ensembl:lncRNA
CCCCUAGCACGGGACUGACCUUCCUGCAUGCUCGCCCCAGGCCCCAGGUGGUGAUUGUUCUAAUCAAAGGGGCCCCUUGCGGCCACGUGCCCACUGCUGAUUUCCCUGGUAACUAAUGAGCCCACCUGAGGUCACUUCCCCUGUAACUGGUAACCUGCCCUUUCCCGGGAGCGAAGCCUGCCACCGUGUCCUGCCUGCCGUCCACCACACACAAUGGGGCGUCUCUCCGGGACUCUGCUUCAGACGUGUGAAUGGAAAGGAGGCCUGGCCCCUAGGGACAGGAUCUGAACCUGGUGAAGGAGCCAACACCCCCAGCAUUGCAGGACAAAUUUUGGAUCAUCCGUGCUUUCUACUGAAAGACUUGCAAUCCAAAGGGGAAAUGAUGGAAGAACCUGCAGGAAUCAGCCCACCAGGAUGCCAUCCUCCUGAGGACUUGUGGGAAAUGAGCGAAACAGAAGAACCACAGAGCCAAGCUCAGAAGCCUCAUUUCCUGGACCCUGAUGGUAUGAGGACCGUUGCACCCAUCUUACAGAUGAAGAGACUGAGGCCCAAAGUGAUGUUUGGGCUAAGAAGCAGCGGAGCCCGCUUUGCGGUUCUGUCUUCUGCUCCUGAGCUGUUUCUUCAUCUGCCUUCCCCUCUGCUGGACAUCAAGUGUCUCAACAAAGUCCACUUGAAAGGGUUGGUCCCUUUGGCCUGCUGUUUUAGAAAACCCAGACUGUGGCUGAGGACCAGAGCAGAAAUCCGUGUCUCUCCAAGGGCAGUGACCCCCAGUCCUCUCACCUGGGGACCACGGUGCAGUGCAGACCCCUCGCCCACACCUGGACCUCCAAGCUGAGCACAUCUGUGGGGCCACAGCUGGAAUCUUCAUUG